rnacentral:rRNA from 1 species
UCUUGGUCAUUUAGAGGAAGUAAAAGUCGUAACAAGGUUUCCGUAGGUGAACCUGCGGAAGGAUCAUUACUGAAAUAAACCUGAUGGGUUGUUGCUGGUUCUCUAGGGAGCAUGUGCACACCUUGUCAUCUUUAUAUCUCCACCUGUGCACCUUUUGUAGACCCCUCCAGGUCUAUGUUUGCUUCAUUUACCCCAAUGUAUGUCAAUAGAAUGUUGUGACUAUGAAAUCUAUACAACUUUCAGCAACGGAUCUCUUGGCUCUCGCAUCGAUGAAGAACGCAGCGAAAUGCGAUAAGUAAUGUGAAUUGCAGAAUUCAGUGAAUCAUCGAAUCUUUGAACGCACCUUGCGCUCCUUGGUAUUCCGAGGAGCAUGCCUGUUUGAGUGUCAUUAAUAUAUAUCAACCCUCAUCUUGAGUGGUUUGGAUGUGGGGGGUUUGCUGGCCUCUUAAAAGGUUCAGCUCUCCUGAAAUGCAUUAGCGGAACAAACCUUGUUCAUUCAUUGGUGUGAUAACUAUCUACGCUAUUGAGUGUGAGGCAGUUCAGCUUCUUAACAGUCCUUGGACAACUUAUCAUUUUAUGUGACCUCAAAUCAGGUAGGACUACCCGCUGAACUUAAGCAUAUCAAUAAGCGGAGG